rnacentral:rRNA from 1 species
UACGUAGGGGGCUAGCGUUGUCCGGAAUCAUUGGGCGUAAAGAGCGUGUAGGCGGCUCGGUAAGUCCGCUGUGAAAGUCCAGGGCUCAACCCUGGAAUGCCGGUGGAAACUGUCGAGCUAGAGUCCGGAAGAGGCGAGUGGAAUUCCUGGUGUAGCGGUGAAAUGCGCAGAUAUCAGGAGGAACACCGAUGGCGAAGGCAGCUCGCUGGGACGGUACUGACGCUGAGGCACGAAGGUCAGGGGAGCAAACGGG